UACGUAGGUGGCGAGCGUUGUCCGGAUUUAUUGGGUUUAAAGGGUGCGUAGGCGGCCCUAUAAGUCAGUGGUGAAAUAUCGCAGCUUAACUGUGAGGGUGCCAUUGAUACUGUAGGGCUUGAGUGAAUUUGAGGUAGGCGGAAUUGACGGUGUAGCGGUGAAAUGCUUAGAUAUCGUCAAGAACACCGAUAGUGAAGACAGCUUACCAAGCUUCAACUGACGCUGAGGCACGAAAGUGUGGGGGAUCAAAACAGG
rnacentral:rRNA from 1 species